AGACCAUGGUGCGGACACUCUCUCUCUAGAUCCUUGAACCUCUCCUAGACCUCAAAUAAACUCUCAUUCGCCAACUGUGUGAUAGAAAUAAUUUGGCUCCUCAAACU
rfam:Spinacia oleracea cultivar SynViroflay scaffold10025.con0002.1, whole genome shotgun sequence.